rnacentral:lncRNA from 1 species
AUUCUGAAUACCAAAAGUAGACUUAGAAACUGUCAGAAUACAAUCUACUAGUACAUUGGAGAUUCAUACACUUCAUGCUGGGAACCUGAUCGAAAUAGAUAAUUUUUUUAAACUUGAGCAUUAAUAGUGUUUGAAAAGAUUAAGCAUGUGUUAAAGUGGUAAUCAUUCUAUUUUUUUUUCUUUAUUUUUGAGAUGUCCUUGCUCUGUCAUGGUAGUAGCAUGAUCUUGGCUCACUGCAGCUUUGACCUCCCGGGCUCAAGCGAUCUUCCCACCUCUGCUUCCUGAGUGGCUGGGACCACAGGCAUGUGCCACUGCACCUGGCUAAUUUUUAAAAUUUUUAUAAAGACGAGGUCUCACUGUGUUUUCCAGGUUGGUCUUGAACCCCUGGGCUCAAGUGAUUCUCCCACCUGGGCCUCCCAAAGUGCUGAGAUUACAGGUGUGAGCCACCAUGCCAGCCGUCAUAAAGUUAUGGGAUGUUUGAUUACUAUUUAUCUCUAAUCAUAAGAGGGAUUAUAUGAAUAAGCCACUGCAUUGGAGGGUAUGUAAAUUAAGUGUUUGCCUGUUUAGUUUGAAUAGGUUGGUGAUGCUGUGUAUGCAGUAGAUUCUUGGCUUAUGUAAUCAGUUCUCAUCAAAAAAGACUUCCUAAAACAAUGAAAUUUCAGGGCUUGUUGAAGUGAAGAGAGAAUGCUUGAUUGAAGACUACAAACUCACACAUACGGUGUCCCAUUUAAAACGUAUUCCAGAGACUUUCACAGACACUUAUUAAAAUUUAUUGACAAAAUGAACAUGAGAAGAGCUCUCUAAUUAUCUAACUGUUGUGAGAUAAUUGCAGUUUAGGUGAGAUGACCGAGUAUGGUCAUUGGGUGAAGGGAACAUUGAAGGCGAUCUGAGAAAGCAGAUGAUGGGUUAAAGAGUUGCAGAUGCUAGAAGAAAACCUAGGCAUUACCAUUCAGGACAUAGGCAUGGGCAAGGACUUCAUGUCUAAAACACCAAAAGCAAUGGCAACAAAAGACAAAAUUGACAAAUGGGAUCUAAUUAAACUAAAGAGCUUCUGCACAGCAAAAGAAACUACCAUCAGAGUGAACAGACAACCUACAAAAUGGGAGAAAAUUUUCGCAACCUACUCAUCUGACAAAGGGCUAAUAUCCAGAAUCUACAAUGAACUCUAACAAAUUUCCAAGAAAAAAACAAACAACCCCAUCAAAAAGUGGGCAAAGGACAUGAACAGACACUUCUCAAAAGAAGACAUUUAUGCAGCCAAAAAACACAUGAAAAAAUACUCAUCAUCUCACUGGCCAUCAGAGAAAUGCAAAUCAAAACCACAAUGAGAUACCAUCUCACACCAGUUAGAAUGGCAAUCAUUAAAAAGUCAGGAAACAACAGGUGCUGGAGAGGAUGUGGAGAAAUAGGAACACUUUGACACUGUUGGUGGGACUGUAAACUAGUUCAACCAUUGUGGAAGUCAGUGUGGCGAUUCCUCAGGGAUCUAGAACUGGAAAUACCAUUUGACCCAGCCAUCCCAUUACUGGGUAUAUACCCAAAGGACUAUAAAUCAUGCUGCUAUAAAGACACAUGCACACGUAUGUUUAUCGCAGCAGCAUUCACAAUAGCAAAGACUUGGAACCAAGCCAAAUGUCCAACAAUGAUAGACUGGAUUAAGAAAAUGUGGCACAUAUACACCAUGGAAUACUAUGCAGCCAUAAAAAAUGAUGAGGUCCUUUGUAGGGACAUGGAUGAAAUUGGAAAUCAUCAUUCUCAGUAAACUAUUGCAAGAACAGAAAACCAAACACCGCAUAUUCUCACUCAUAGGUGGGAAUUAAACAAUGAGAACACAUGGACACAGGAAGGGGAACAUCACACUCUGGGGACUGUUG